UACGAAGGGGGCUAGCGUUACUCGGAAUUACUGGGCGUAAAGGGCGCGUAGGCGGCGUUCCAAGUUAGGCGUGAAAGUCCUGGGCUCAACCUGGGAACUGCGCUUAAGACUGGAAUGCUAGAGGAUGGAAGAGGGUUGUGGAAUUCCCAGUGUAGAGGUGAAAUUCGUAGAUAUUGGGAAGAACACCGGGUGGCGAAGGCGGCAACCUGGUCCAUUUCUGGACGCUGAGGCGCGAUAGCGUGGGGAGCAAACAGGG
rnacentral:rRNA from 1 species